GCAGGCAAUUCCGGGUCUGCAGCACCGUCGCCACCACCAAGCAUCUGUGUACGGGCCAACCAUGAUGCAUCAUCUCCUGGACCCUGCCUCACGUCUAGUG